rnacentral:rRNA from 1 species
UACGUAGGGGGCCAGCGUUGUUCGGAAUUACUGGGUGUAAAGGGUUCGUAGGCGGUGUGGCAAGUCGGGGGUGAAAUCUCUGGGCUCAACUCAGAGACUGCUUCCGAAACUGCUGUGCUGGAGUGUGGGAGAGGCGCGUGGAAUUGCAGGUGUAGCGGUGAAAUGCGUAGAUAUCUGCAGGAACACCCGUGGCGAAAGCGGCGCGCUGGACCACUACUGACGCUGAGGAACGAAAGCUAGGGGAGCAAACAGG